rnacentral:lncRNA from 1 species
UAAUCUCCGACGUGGUGUACGGUCAUGUCUGCUGUUUUUUCUUUGUGAGGAGACAGUCAUGAAGCCCAGCCCACACCCAGGAGGAGGGAAGGUGCGAGUCCAGCCCUGUCCUUAUGACCAGACAUUCAUCCCCCACCUGCCUGCUCCAACCCUGGGAUUCUGGAACAGAACAUUUUAACAUAAAAGAACUGAAGUGGAUCUAUGGAAGGCAGCAUAUAUGUGGAUCUUAUUUUUGUACCCAUUCAGCCAGUCUACAUCUUUUGGUUGGGUCCUCUAAGAAAGAAGAAGAAGGAAACAGUGCACAUUUGUCCCUGGUACCGCCAUGUCCUGCUGCUCCACAAAACUGGUGGUCUUCUUCCUUACUUGGAUCGGGCAGCUGAGCCAGGGGAACAAGGAAUUCCAGAGAUGACAUGAACACACUUGGCAUUUGGUGAUUGGCUGGCGUCCUCCUCUGAUCUCUGAGAAGAGCUGUAAAAUCCUUCACCUUUGUUAGACCUGAAACCACAUCCAUACCCCAAGCUUUAACUGUGACAAUGCCAGAUCCUUAAUCCACCGUGGCGAGCCAGGGAUCGAACCUGUGUCCCAACAAACCUGCAUCCCAGUAUUCCCAAGACACUGCUGAUCUUGUUGUGCUACAGUGGGAACUCCUGAAGAGGCUAUUUAGAUAAAGGAUCUGGAGAGGGAAGAUCAUCCUGGAUUAUGUGAAUGGGCUCUGUUUAAUCACAUGAAUCUUUAAAAGUGGAAGAGCAGAAGGCAGAAGGGUGUGUUAGAAUGAUGCUCUGUGAGAAGGACCUGCUGCCACGGGCUUUGAAGGCGGAGGCAGGGGACCAUGAGCCAAGAAACACGGCCACCUCCACAAGCGGUGCAUGGCCCUCAGCUUACAGUUGGUAAGAACUCAAGGACUGUGGUCCUAUGCCUGAAAGGGACUGAAUUCUUCCAAUAACUAGAAUGAGCAGAAAGCAUUCUUCCUCAGAGCCUCCAGGAAGGAACACAGCCUACAACUUGAUUUUAGUCUGCUGAGAACCGUGCUGAAUUCCUGACCUCCAAAUCUGCAAAAUAAUAAGUUUUUUUGUCUUAAGCCACUAAGUUUGUAAUAAUUUGCUGUGGCAACAGUAGAAAACUAACACCCUGAGAUAGAGAUAAAAUUUGUUAAUAUCAUAUAGCCAAUAAGACUAUACCUUUUGACUUUUUUUCUCCCCAGAUAGAUGUCUACACGGUGCAUUUAACUUUGUAAAUGUAUGAUUUCUUAACUAAGAGUAAACAGCCAAGUCAAACACAAGUGUAUUACUCUAGAUAAUUAAACAAUUUUUGAGUGCAUAUGUUAAACCAUGUCCCAGUGGACAUUGAAAACACAUCCUACAUUUUUGCCUUAUUUCCAAGUUUAAUUGUUUUGUUUUUCUUUGCAGGUGAAACGGGAAAUAUCAUUUCAUUUUAUAAACAAUAAGCUCCAUAAGGGCAUCACCUUAUUUCUCUUGGCUGAUGUCAUCUUAUCACAAUACUUGACACAUAGCAGGUGCUAAAUGAAUGUUUGUUGAAUGGGUAAAGAAAUGCUUGCAACCUCAUCACUAAUUAUUUCCUCCUAUGAAAUCUGUGAUUCACCCACACUGAAUUCCUUCAGUUCUUUUAAUAUAAACCAACCAUGUUCUCUCUCACCAUGAGAUUUGUGCAUUUGCUUUUCUUUCUGCCUGGCACCUACACCCCCACUCAGCUUGGCUAACAAGCAGUCAUAUGUUAGGUCUUAGCUUAGACGUGACCCCCUCUGGGAAGUAGUGUCUUGUCACCUCAUCUUCCCACCUGUGACUCUUUCUGCUCUUAGAGCUUCUGUAUUUAAUGCCAUAGCCCUUAAUACAUUGUAUCUGUCUUGUAUGAGCCCCCAUGGAUGGUCUAAUGCAUCGAACUUUAAUAAUUUAGCAUCAGCUCCAGAGUCAGACUGCAUUGAUACACAUCCUGUCUCCACAACUGACUAGUUGUAUUAUUUUAGGUAAGUUAGAUCUUUUUGUGACUCAAUUUUCUCAUCUGUAAAAUGGGGAUAAUAUUAAUAUCUCCACUGCAUACACCGUGGUGAGAAUUAAAUGUUAAGGGCUUAGAAGAGAGCCUGGUGUAUGGCUAGUACAUGGGAAGCCAUUGUUUUUUAAAUUCCUUGAAAUCAGGAGCACAAACUGUUCACUAUUGUCCUCUGUUUCUGAUGCAGAAUGCUUGAUACUGAGCAAGUGCUCAAGAUCCUUUGGUGACUUGAAUAGAAUUGUGACCCAGUGAGAAGCAUCCUUUUAUCAGACCUGAACUGGAGAUAAAAGAGCAAUGUCUUGAGUGAGAUGAGCUACCCAGAGAGGCUCAACACUAAAGCUAGGAGAGUGCUUCUCCCUAAAAUGUCUGGAAGGCAAAGUGCUGGCCAUGUUGCUCCCUGGAGAAGGCUAUGGAGUCGAGCCUUCUGAUAUAUAAGCGUCAUCACAUCUCAGAUGCAUCAGCCUAGUCCCAAAACAGACAUGGGUUUUAGUAAUGGCAGACCUUCCAUCCCUACCUCCCCCCACCCCACCCACACGCCCCUUCCUCCACCCCAUCCCUGUUCUCCCUGGAUCAGGAAAUUCUCCGCCAGCUUUGAGUCCCAUUACAUUGACCCCAGGGGAUCAGCCCUUGCCGUUUGUUCUGUCUUUUAAAUUUUAUUGGGGUAGAAUUGAUUUACAAUGUUGUAUUAGCUUCAGGCUUAUAGCAAAGUGAAGCGGUUCUGCAUAUACAUACAUCCAUGCUUUCUUCCCAUAUAGGUUAUUACAGAGCGAUGGAUCAGCCUUUGAAUUUCCCUGCAAGGAAUGUCCUGCUGCACGGAGCGCUGUCUGCUCUUUUGUCAUCUUUGCUGCCUCCCUCCCAACCUUCCUUCCUUGAAAAGGCCCACCUUGGCUUCCAUUUCCAAAGAAUCUUGAAGCAGCUUGCCGGGCCACACUGAAGUUAUUCACAUUUCUGGGUGACGGCUCUUCUGCUGACCUCCUUGGCCAUGAUCCAGUGCAGCAGAUGUGACGCUGAGCACAUCACAAAGCAUCAUGUAAGACAGACCCCAGAACUGCUUGCCCUUUGUUCCUACCCCUUGGCAAAAGGCAAUGUUAACUGCUUGCUUUUGAGCAUGGCUGUAUCUCAGGCAAUCAUUUUUCUUCUUUUUUUUUAAUGUUUCUUUUUUUAUUAAUCAAUUAAUUUAUUACAUUUAUAGUUAUACAAUGAUUAUCACAAUCCAAUUUUAUAGGAUUUCCAUCCCACAACCCCAGCACAUCCACCCACCCCCCAAACUGCCUCCUUUGGAGACCAUAGUUUUUCAAAGUCUGUGAGUCAGUAUCUGUCCUGCAAAGAAGUUCAUUCUGUCCUUUUUUAAGAUUCCAAAUCAGUGGGAGAAUUUGAUAUUGGUGUCUCAUUGACUUACUUCGCUUAGCAUGAUAAUUUCUAAGUCCAUCCAUGUUGCUACAAAUGCCGUUAUUUCGUUCCUUUUAAUGGCUGAGUAAUAUUCCAUUGUGUAUAUGUACCACAUCUUCUUGAUCCACUCCUCUGUCGAUGGACAUUUAGGUUGUUUCUGCAUCUUGACUAUUGAAAAUAGUGCUACAAUGAACAUUGGAGUACAUAUGUCUUUGGGAGUCAUGCUUUUCUCUGGAUAGAUGCCCAGCAGUGGGAUUGCUAGACCAAAUGGUAAUUCUAUUUUUACAUUUCUGAGAAUCUCCACACUGUUUUCCACAGUGGUUGCACCAAUUUACAAUCCCACCAACAGUGUACUAGGGUUCCUUUUUCUCCACACCCUCUCCAGCACUUAUUGUUUGUAGACUUUUUGAUGGUGGCCAUUCUGGCUGGUGUAAGGUGGUACCUCAUAGUGGUUUUGAUUUGCAUUUCUCUAAUCAUGAGUGAUGUUGAACGUCUUUUCAUGUGUUUUUGGCCAUCUGUAUGUCUUCUUUGGAGAAUUGUCUGUU